AUCUCAUUUUGUUUAUGAUCUCCAACAGUCAUAAUGCUCUUGUUUUACCUCAGCGCUUUGGCUAUUCUUACAGCAAGAGUUUUUGCGAAUGCAAUAACACGCAUCUCUUCUGAAAAUCAUGCAUUUGAAGGAGGAAAAGUGACUAUUUCAUGCAACUACAGCGGAAAUGAUAUAAGAAGUUGGCAGUGGUACAGACAGUAUCCCAACUCUACCCCUGAAUUUCUCUUACAAGCUUUGGAAACUCUGGAUCCAGAGCAGAAGGACCGUCAUCUUGCUAAAGCACAAAAGGCCAAAAAACAUCUGACCCUGGAGAUCUCCAAAACUGAAGUAGAAGAUGCUGCAGUAUACUACUGUGCCCUGGUGCACAGUAACAGAAAACCCUUCAACACUACAUUAUUUAUCAGAGAAUAUGAAGACUCAGAGGGUGGAGCUCUUUUGCUAAGUUGGGGAUUCAAAGUCUUCUUUCACUGA